GACCGACCAGCUAGCCGACCAAACCAAACCCAAUAAACCAAACAUUAAUUUCCCCCUAAUACACGAACUGUGUAAAAAUAAACCAUUUUUCCCCCCCAGUACGGGCGACAGAAGAGG
rnacentral:rRNA from 1 species